CCUACGGGAGGCUGCAGUGGGGAAUAUUGCACAAUGGGCGAAACUCUGAUGCAGCAACGCCGCGUGAGUGAAGAAGUAUUUCGGUAUGUAAAGCUCUAUCAGCAGGGAAGAAAAUGACAGUACCUGACUAAGAAGCCCCGGCUAACUACGUGCCAGCAGCCGCGGUAAUACGUAGGGGGCAAGCGUUAUCCGGAUUUACUGGGUGUAAAGGGAGCGUAGACGGCUGCGCAAGUCAGAAGUGAAAGCCCGGGGCUCAACCGCGGGACUGCUUUUGAAACGGUGUAGCUAGAGUGCAGGAGAGGUAAGUGGAAUUCCUAGUGUAGCGGUGGAAUGCGUAGAUAUUAGGAGGAACACCGGUGGCGAAGGCGGCUUACUGGACUGUAACUGACGUUGAGGCUCGAAAGCGUGGGGAGCAAACAGGAUUAGAUACCCUUGUAGUC
rnacentral:rRNA from 1 species